CAAAUGGCCCCACUAACACCCUGGGCACCAUUCCAGCCUCGCCAGCAAGCUGCGUUCAUGAGUCUCCUCACCUCAGGGACCCUGGGGAUGCCUUUCCGGGGCUGUUGGGUGUCCAGCAGACACUGCCACAAAAGGGAGGGCACUGAGUGGACCUGCAUGGGGAUGAGAGGGCCAGAAGCCAGCAGCCGUCCUGCUUCCCCUGGUGCAGAGCACAUCCUUCUCUCUAAGUAGUCCGUUGCCUGGUGCUUGUCCCAAACUAGCUGCUUCUCCAGCCCACAGUGGGGACACAGGGCAAUCCAGGGGGUCCGGCACCCUGCCGGGUACCUGCAGGCCAGUGACGCCCCUCUCCACAGGAGCAGAAGGACGAGGCCGUGCAGACCGAGGUCACCUCCUCCAUUGCUGCCCACAGCCAUGCUGACACCAGCUCCGGUGUCCUGAGGGAGGAGCGCACAGAGCUCUUUGGUCAGCCCAGGCCUGGAGCACCCUGCAGCGCGCAGAGGAGCGGCCACGUUCAUCCAUGGGGAAGGGCACACCCUGCCAGGCCAACAGCCAGGUGGAGGCCAAGCUGCAAGCAGGCAGCAGCAAAGCCGAGCAGGCACAGAGCAGGUAGGAGGCCCUGAGCCUGGCUGUCCCUGGCACAGCCAGAGCCCAGCCAGGGUUGUGCCCAUGCCCACUCCAUCAAGGGAGGGCAGCCUGGGGCCACCACAGCUGAGGCUGUGCCCUUGCCCCCAGGGAGGUGGCAGUGCAGGUCCAGGCAGAGCUCAGCCAGUGCCAGCAGAAACAGCAACUGAGCCUGGAGCAGGAGCUGAAACACGUGCACCCUGCGUCCCAUGCCCAAGAGAAGGUGCAGAAGAGCCUCGAACAGCUCCAAGCCCUGAGGGAGCAGGUUGGUAGUGGACAAAACCUGCUGGGGGGGUCCCUCCGUCAGCCUGGCCCAGUCUCCCCUGCCCCCGUGGGUAAGCCAGGGCUUGCCCAGGGCCAGGAGCAAGCUACCACGCCACGAGAGCAGCAAGGGCAGCUGCACUGCCAGCAGGACGGGAAGGAACAGCUCUAGCAAGAGCUGCAGCAGGCGAGG
rnacentral:lncRNA from 1 species